GGCAACUUGAACAAGACCAAUAUGCAGGAAAUUGUUUCCAUCAGUCUUGUGUUUUCUGAUUGACUCAAGAUUAAGCAACUGGCAAGUUUCGUGUUCUUUACUAAGAGCGUAAACUUGUUCAACUGUUUUGACAUGUGUGGUGCUAUUAAAACUGGAAGGCAACCAAUGUUUCUUAUAAAUUUUUUGACUCGGGACUUUAGGGAUAUUCCAAUCUCUAAAAUCUAAUUGUUCUUUGCAACUAGAGUCAUAUUCAAAUUGUUCUUCAUUAACUAUCUCAGGGAGUCGACUUAUACUGGUCUUAGAACUGCUUGACUUACAGGAACUUGACCUAAGAAAACGACUCAUGGCUACUCAAGUGUUUGACUUAAACGGACUGAGGAAGAAGAUAAACAGGGAUUUCCCGGACUUACUCCUUAGACUCUAAGAAACCUACUAACUCCACUCAAUUUUCUGUCUCCUGCCCAGCACAAACGCCCUACCCUCGGGACUUACAGAUCUAG
rnacentral:lncRNA from 1 species